UUGUGGUCAAAUCAUAUUGAAACACCAGUUCUCAUACAAUCACCAAAGUUAAGCAAUACUGAGCUCAGUCAAUAACUAGAUGAGUGACCACUUGGGAACAGCAGGUGCUGUAAG